UACGGGGGGAGCAAGCGUUGUUCGGAUUUACUGGGCGUAAAGGGCGCGGUAGGCGGUCGUGACAAGUCACUUGUGAAAUCUCCGGGCUUAACUCGGAACGGUCAAGUGAUACUGUCGGACUAGAGUACAGAAGGGGCAACUGGGAAUUCUCGGUGUAGCGGUGAAAUGCGCAGAUAUCAGGAGGAACACCGGUGGCGAAGGCGGGUCUCUGGGCCGAUACUGACGCUGAGGAGCGAAAGCGUGGGGAGCGAACAGG
rnacentral:rRNA from 1 species